UACGUAGGGGGCCAGCGUUGCUCGGAAUUACUGGGCGUAAAGGGUUCGUAGGCGGUGCGGCAAGUCGGAAGUGAAAUCUCUGGGCUUAACUCAGAGGCUGCUCCCGAAACUGCCGUGCUUGAGUGCGGGAGAGGCGAGUGGAAUUGCAGGUGUAGCGGUGAAAUGCGUAGAUAUCUGCAGGAACACCCGUGGCGAAGGCGGCUCGCUGGACCGCAACUGACGCUGAGGAACGAAAGCUAGGGGAGCAAACAGG
rnacentral:rRNA from 1 species